GAUGAACGCUAGCGGCAGGCCUAACACAUGCAAGUCGAGGGGUAGGGUUUUUCGGAACCUGAGACCGGCGCACGGGUGCGUAACGCGUAUGCAAUCUGCCUUACACUAAGGGAUAGCCCGGAGAAAUCCGGAUUAAUACCUUAUAGUAUAUUGAUGUGGCAUCACAUUAUUAUUAAAGAUUUAUCGGUGGAAGAUGGGCAUGCGUGCCAUUAGUUAGUUGGUAGGGUAACGGCCUACCAAGACUUCGAUGGCUAGGGGUUCUGAGAGGAUGGUCCCCCACACUGGUACUGAGACACGGACCAGACUCCUACGGGAGGCAGCAGUAGGGAAUAUUGGGCAAUGGCCGAGAGGCUGACCCAGCCAUGCCGCGUGCAGGAAGAAGGCCUUCUGGGUUGCAAACUGCUUUUAUCUGGGAAGAAACGCCCCUGCGGGGGUAACUGACGGUACCAGAUGAAUAAGCACCGGCUAACUCCGUGCCAGCAGCCGCGGUAAUACGGAGGGUGC
rnacentral:rRNA from 1 species